GACGAACGCUGGCGGCGUGCUUAACACAUGCAAGUCGAACGGAAAGGCCCUGCUUUUGUGGGGUGCUCGAGUGGCGAACGGGUGAGUAACACGUGAGUAACCUGCCCUUGACUUUGGGAUAACUUCAGGAAACUGGGGCUAAUACCGGAUAGGAGCUCCUGCUGCAUGGUGGGGGUUGGAAAGUUUCGGCGGUUGGGGAUGGACUCGCGGCUUAUCAGCUUGUUGGUGGGGUAGUGGCUUACCAAGGCUUUGACGGGUAGCCGGCCUGAGAGGGUGACCGGCCACAUUGGGACUGAGAUACGGCCCAGAUUCCUACGGGAGGCAGCAGUGGGGAAUAUUGCACGAUGGGCGGAAGCCUGAUGCAGCAACGCCGCGUGCGGGAUGACGGCCUUCGGGUUGUAAACCGCUUUCGCCUGUGACGAAGCGUGAGUGACGGUAAUGGGUAAAGAAGCACCGGCUAACUAUGUG
rnacentral:rRNA from 1 species